rnacentral:lncRNA from 1 species
GAUAAAGUGUGACACAGCUCUGGCAGCAGGCUUCUCCAGCAGGCUAUGUGUGUGCUGAGGAGUAGGAGAUGAGUGGAGAGGAACCAGUGGGGGGGUUCUGAUCAGCAGUCUGGGGCUCCCCUGCUGAGGGGCUCUGGAAUUAGGCCUAAACUCUGCCCUGCCAGAUGGCACCAGCACCACAUCAGCCCCACCACCACCCACCUUAGACGUCAGGGCCAGGCUGAGCCCUGCUCCCCCUGGCCUGCACUGGGCCCUGAGGACCAGACACUAGGGAGAUGGGACCCCUGGGGGAGCUCAGAGGGUAUGGUUCUCCUCAACACAGGGAGGUAAUGCUGAUAAUAAAUAAUGUUGAUUGUGAUGAUAUUUAAUUUGGAAUAUACAUUUGUCCCCCAAUAGCUGAGACCUUUAGCCCUGGAACUGUCCUACACUGCUAGCUUACAAGACUCCUACUGUACUUGCAAACAAAAUGAGGGAAAUCUGUGACAGCAGGCGAAGCCUGAGUUGACCUGGAGGUUAGGAUCCUCAUCAUCACAACCAGGAGGGACUUGACUUCAGUGACUCCUAGAUGCUUCUGAAACUACCCCAAUAACCUGUCGCAGAUUGUUCACUCCACUCACCAAGGAGUUAAUAAAUCAAAGACCAACACAAGCACUUCAAUUCAUCUGUUUUAUUCAUCUGUGAAACAACAAUCUUUUCUUAUGAGUGAAUAAGGCAUUAUCCCUACUGCCCUGAAGCAGCAGCCCAUGGUUGAAGUACAGGUGUGACUAAUUACCUUGUUAUUACAGGAAGCAAUCUCAUUGGUUAAUUGUAUGUUCCCUACCUGUAUUUAAACCCCCCUGUUUUUGUGUUCAUGAUGUCUGGCAUGGUGGACCCUUUGUGCAGCUAUGCUUGGUGAGAGGAAAUGGAUUUUCUGUUGAAGGUUAUAAUGGAGAAAACGGCACCUGCCUGCUAGGCUUGCUGCACUUCCUGUGCCCCUUUUUGUUUCAUGUUGGUUUUGUAUUUGUGAUUUCAAUUAGCAGGGUUUUCAAAGUAAAAUAAUUGAAAUGGAGUAACUGAUAAGUGGAGGCAAAGUAUG